AGAAUGGAGCACAGAGAGCUGGGGAAAUGGUGUACUCUUUCAUGAAUGCCCCUGAUGAGAAACCAUUCUGAUCUUAAAAUGGUGUGCUGUGUGUUGGACAAGGUAUGGGAGCAUUAAAGCAUCCCUGGAACUGACGAGAGGAUGCCUUUAGCCACUAAGUUGUCACCUCUCUGGCCACUUGGAGUGUUUCAAAGGAAGACAGGACUGUCUGUAUGUUCUUUGCAAAUAAACAGGAUUGUACCAAAGAAAAUACGAGAGAAAUUAUGAACUAAUACUCCUGUUGAACCAAAAUGGAACAAAUGGUGGAGAUGCUUGCAGAAAUCAAAGAUGACCAAAAGAGCUUCAAAUAAAGACUUCACAGAAGGAAUCUAAGCAACAUCUGAAGGCUUCCCAGAAAGGAUUUAGACCACCAGUGGUCAGAGAUAAAAUCUUUGUUGGGGCAGCAGCCAGAAAGUGUUCAGACAGAUUUGGAAGUCAUACUACAAAAUUUCCAGUGCAGACAGGCAAGAUGGACUGAUGAGGUGACCAACAACAGACUAUCAUGGACCAAAAGAUGUUCCACGUAAUAGGGGAGACCAAGAAAUAUCUGCUCAACUUGGUGCUUGUAAAUAGAGACAGCUGCAACAAGGACUUUAGGGAGCUAAAAAAUCACCUGGAGAAGGAGCUCAAAGGACUGCAUACUAUAUUGGAAAUUAGCAGUCUGGAUUAGGAAUUGGGCCAGACUGAGAAUUUGGGUAAAACAGGAUAUUUACAACAGUUUUAUACCCUUUUUCUAACCCAGAGAGGUUAGAUUGUUCAAGCUCAGGCAAUACAAAAGCCAUUGGGGGCGGGGACGACAAGGAUAUGGUACAAGCUCUUGAUAUGCAGCUAAAAUCUAGCUAUCAAUCUGAGCUGAGCAAGGCACAGCUAAGGGCUAGAAGAAGAGGGAAAGAACAGACCCCACCUCAACUGGAAUAGGACAUGAAGAGUUGUGCCUGGUAUAUCCAGAUACCAGUGAGGACUAAGAUUUCCAAGCUAAAUUAACAAUGGACCAAAUUACAGAUCUGCAGCUUGGCUUAGAUUUUCAGCUCAAGAUCAUUGAAAGGAGGCCAAGAAUGCUUUCUGUGACUGAGGAAUUUGCCGCAGAACUUCAAUUUUUCCUUGCAGGAGCCCACCAGAAAAGGAAGCAAUUGCUAUUGAGGAAGAUGGAAACUGAUCACCAUGAGCCCUAUUCUCAUGGAGCACUCCAGUGAGGCCUCAGCAGUGUCAAGUUAGGACAGUGCCAAAGAUUACCUCCUGUGUCUUACAUCUGUUAAUACGUCCCAG